CUGAAAAACGUUCCGUUCCACGUUGUC
rnacentral:misc_RNA from 1 species